GACGAACGCUGGCGGCGUGCUUAACACAUGCAAGUCGAACGGAAGGGCCCUGCUUUUUUGUGGUGCUCGCGUGGGACAGGUGUGUGUAGCCCGUGAGUCUCCUUCCCUUUAGUGUGUGAUAACUUCAGGCAACUGGGGCUACUACCUGCUUGGUGCUCCUGCUGCUUGGUGGGGGUUGGACCUUUUCGGCGGGUGGGGAUGGACUCCCGGGUUACCAGCUGGUUGGUUGGGUAGUUGCUAACCCAGGCUUUGAUGGGUAGCCGGCCUGGGAGGGUGACCGGCCACAUUGGGACUGAGGGACGGACCAGACUCCUACGGGAGGCAGCGGUGGGGAGUAUUGCACAAUGGGCGGAAGCCUGAUGCAGAAACGCGGCGUGUGGAAUGAAGGCCUUGGGGGUGUGAACCGCAGUAGGCUGUGACGAAGCGGGAGUGACGGUAAUGGGUAAAGAAGCACCGGCUAACUACGUG
rnacentral:rRNA from 1 species